ensembl:lncRNA
UGUGCUCAUUAAAAUUAAAACAUUUAUGUGCGUGUGAACAUGUAUGCACAAACACACACACAAUGCAAAAUCCAUUUCCUCCUUUUUUUUUUUUUUUUGUCUUUUUAGGGUUGCACCUGUGGCAUAUGGAGGUUCCCAGGCUUGGGGUCGAAUUGGACCUGUAGGUGCUGGCCUACACCACAGCCACAGCAAAGUGGGAUCCCAGCCACAUCUGCAACCUACACCACAGCGUACAGGCAACACAAGAUCCUUAACCCCCUGAGCGAGGCCAGGGAUUGAACCCGCAUCCUCAUUUAUACUAGUCAGAUUCCAUUCUGCUGAACCAUGAUGAGAACUCUGCAAAAUACAUUGCUUAAAAUGAAAACAAAAAGCCACAAGAACAAAUGGCCUCUUGCCCUGUCUCCCUGUGAAGCUAACCUGAUGUUGGCCUCUGGGCCCUGUUGAUGUGUGGAGGCUGCACUUCAGAAGCGGCAGGCAGGUGGAGUCCAAGGUAGUCUAUGUCCCUUGAAGAAUGCAGGGUUCCAUGGAUUCCCAUUGAUUUGGUGGUAUCAGCCUAAGCUGGGGGUCAGGGGGCUUUGGGGCUGUGCAUGACCAAGGCUGGGGAAUUGGUGGCCUCAGGGAGAUGAGGAGACUUAGAUCAGCCCCCUUGGUGUUUUCCUGGGUCAGGGGACAGAGGUUCUUGCAGUUUGCCUGACAGUGGCUAUACUCCUGGAAUGAUUCUUUGUUACCAGUACCCCCCUAGCUAACUUUUACUGAGCUCUUUUGCUCAAGUGUCUUGCUUUCUUUUCUUUUCUUUUCUUUUUUUCUUUUUUUUUUUUUUUUGGUCUUCUGUCUUUUUAGGGCCACACCUGUGGCAUAUGGAGGUUCCCAGGCUAGGGAUCCAAUCAGAGCUAUGGCUGCCGGCCUACACCACAGCCACAGCAAUGCCAGAUCUGAGCUACAUCUGCGACCUACACCACAGCUCACGACAACGCCAGAUCCUCAACCCACUGAGCAAGGCCAGGGAUCGAACCCGCAACCUCAUGGUUCCCAGUCAGAUUCAUUUCCGCUGCGCCACAAUAGGAUCUCCAGUGCCUUUCUGUCUCUUUUUAAUUUAUGUACCAACUGAAUGAGGUUGGUACUUCUUACUAUCCCCAGUUUGACAUUUGGGAAGCUGAGGCUCAGAGAGGUUGUGACCUGCACCAAAGUCACACAGCUAGUAAGAAGGAGAGCCAGAAUCCAGCUGCAGGCUCUCCAGCUCUCUAGCUCCAGAGUCUGGGCUCUUAACCAUUACACUCAACUCCCUUUCUGAGCUAUUUUCCCUGAUUUGUACCUGGCUGUCUGGUGUAGUCAGGAGAUCAGGUAAGGGUGGAUCACUGAAUUUAGGAUGAUGUCCUAGUCACCCUUUCUGCUUGGACAAAGCCAUAUCCUGAGGCUUUGAAAAAAUGCCAGAGGGACACAAAUGGAUCUGAGGCAUAAAUAAUGUAUAACAUGAGAAGGUAGGAUGUGGCUAAUUCUAUUGCCAUCAUUUUGCCUAAUUAACGGAUACUCCCAGGGAUGUGUAGUAGUAAUUACUCCUUUGUCAUGUCCCUCUUUUCUCCCAUUUGCUCCUAGAAUCCACCUAUAAUCCGAGACCUGUCCUAGCUGGCUAUUUCUGAAGCGAUGCCCCUCUUUGUUCUGCUGGUUUGCUAGGACUGUCGUUGUUUGGAGCACAGAGAUGUUGGCUUCUGAACACAAGCAUCCCUAAAUGGAAGGAAGCCUUGAGACGGUGAGCACAGAUAUUUGUUCUUAAGUAUAAUUUCAUUAACAUGACAUAGGAGUUGAAUACAUGUUCGCACACAUUCAUGGAAGACUUAUUCCCAAUAGCCCACAGGGGGAAAUAACCCAAAUGUCCAUCAAUGGAUGAAUGGACAAACAAAAUGUGGUAGAUCCAUAUGGCGGAAAACUAUUUGGCCAUGAAAAAGAAUGAGGUAUUGAUAAAUGCUACAAUGUGGACCAAUCUUGAAAAGAUUAUACUGCGUGUAAGAAGCCAGGCUCAAAGGUCACACAUGGUAUGAUUCCACUUAGAUGAAAUAGCCAGAAAUGGUAAAUCCACAGGGUCACAUGUAGAUUGGUGGUUGCCUGGGGCUGGGAGGAGGGGGAAAAGAAGAACCAUUGCUUUAUGGGUCUCGGGUUCCCUGCUGGGGUGAGAAAAAUGUUUUGGAAAUGGAUAGAGGUGAUAGUUGUACAGCAUUGUGCAUGAACUAAAUGCCACUGAUUUAUUUAUGUUCAAAUGGUUAAUGCUAUGCUAUGGACAUCUCACCUCGAUAACAUGAGGCCAACUUUUUAAAAUACUACAGAGAUUUGGAGAUACUCUGUGUCUACAGAUACAGAUACUGCAGAUACUAGGAGAGAUUUGGCAAAAGCACCAUAUAAUUAUUGGAAAGGGUCUGAGGUCAUGACAGAAGCUACCUAGUUCUUCCAUGGAAGGAGCAUAUGUUUUUCCCUAUCUUUACACAUCCCCAGUGGGCAGCACAUUCCCACACUGGCAGGGUGUUAACCAGGCAUAUCCCGAGAGAGCAUCUGGGGUGAGAAGAGAGUGGUUGGGGGAGGGAGAAGAGCUCGAAAGGAGUUAGCCUCCAGUUCAAGACACACGGGGCCACCUCUUCUGCCUGGGACAAGGGAGGGAGGAGACUUUUAAUAAUCGUUUCUGUAAUCCAGAAAAAAGCAAUUGACCAGAGAAUUCAUAAUUAAAUAGUAAUGUAUUUUUUUUAGAGUCACCAUUUAUUCCCCGUGCAGAAUUAAGCAUUCUUUUUUUUUUUUCCAUUAUAGUUUGUUUACAGUGUUCUGUCAACUUUCUACUGUACAGCAAAGUGACACAGUCACACACACACACAAAUAUACACAUUCUUUUGCUCACAGUAUCUUCCAUUGUGUUAUAUCGCAUGUGACUAGUUAUAUAGUAAUGUAUUUUUAGAAAAGUGUUCUCCUCAUGAGUUUUUUUCUUAAAAUUUAUGGAAUUACUUAACUAUCAAAGGAACUUACUUAUAGAUUGGGAAGCAUACAAAAGAAUAAAGAAAAAAGGGGAAAGUCACCCAUUAGCCCACCCCACAGAAAUAGCUCCU